UAAUCGGGAUGCAGAUGCCUGAAACUCUGC
rnacentral:piRNA from 2 species